AUGGAGGUGGUGAAGAGCCUCCUGAAGUCGAAGCCGACACCGCAGCAGCAGCUGCGUGAGUGGCAGCGCCGCCUCCGCAACAAGGGCCGCAACAUCGAGCGCCAGAUCCGAGAUGUGCAGAAGGAGGAUAAGAAGGUGGAGAAGGCCAUCCGGGACACCGCCAAGCGCGGCGAUAUGGGAUCCACCAAGAUACAUAUCCUCCUACUCUGCCUGCGCCAUGGAUCGAUUUGGGCGAUCAACCUCCUCUACGAGAACAAGGCCCAGCUCAACUCCAUCUCCAUGCACCUCGGCGAGAUCGUCGGAUCACGUUUCCCCUCCUGCCCGCCGAUGCACUGCUUGCAAACAAAAAUGAAGCAUCAAUUAUAUGAAACACAACAACAAUUCACAGAGCACCAUGGACCCCUGAAGGGAUUGAGCAGCAUUAGGAGGAGGAGCUCAAGCAGGCCACCACGAUGCACCACCGCAACAGCAGGUAGCACGUCCAUCUCCCUCUCCCUAUGCUGCCAAUCCUUUUUCUGGGAAUCUAGGGAAUGCGAAGUUGAAGAGACCUGGAGUAUCUAG
rnacentral:rRNA from 1 species